AAAAUUCACCAAAUGAGUCAUCCCACAAUAUUAUGAUGUUCCCCAAGUUUUGGACUCAAUCCUAUAUCGAUUGGUCCACGAAAUUGGACAAUUCAAGGUCGUACGAAGUUCGUUCUGAAACAGAAAGGUUUCUGUUUUGCAUAGUUUUAGAGAUUAGAUUUCACUCAAAACCCACCAAAUGUCUCCUCCCACCAUAUUAUGAUGUUCACCAAGUUUUGG
rnacentral:lncRNA from 1 species